UCUUCUUUCACAAUCCAUUGUUCAGGCACAUCCGAUCAUUUAAAACAACAUCUUGAACAUCCUAUGAGUAAAUCGACGAUAACUGCAUUCCUUCCGUAUUAGAUGUUUAUUUUAUGUGUUCCUUUUAUUGUUUUGUGUAUAUUGCUCUUUGGUUUCAUAUGAAAAUCAUCGAUAAGGAGUGCUCCAAUUGGUGAUUCAUUGCAUUUAAGACCCAAAAAGGUAUCAAAAAGGAUCUGAGAGAUUAAAGAUGUUGGUAAGCGGAUUGGUGAAGGAAUUUGAAGGCGGUUGGAAAGGCUGCAUGUCGAAGGAGAAUGAGGAUUCUUUUGGGAUAAAAGCAAGGAACUUGAGUUGGACUGGGACUUUUGUGUUGAAGAUGUGGGAGAAGAUGACAAUGGUACAUCCCAGUUUUUUUACUCAUCUAGCGGAGUUGGGUUAUUUUUUUUAUCCCAUAGUGGCAGAACC